rnacentral:pre_miRNA from 1 species
AGGAGGAACAACCGCAGUGGCGGGGCCAGUUCUGGAGCCCUGGAGUCAGCCCCCGCAGUAAUCCCGGAGCUCUCGGUCUGCAGGGCCUGGAGGCUCCGGGGCGGG